rnacentral:rRNA from 1 species
GAUGAACGCUGGCGGCGUGCCUAAUACAUGCAAGUCGAGCGAACGGACGAGAAGCUUGCUUCUCUGAUGUUAACGGCGGACGGGUGAGUAACACGUGGAUAACCUACCUAUAAGACUGGGAUAACUUCGGGAAACCGGAGCUAAUACCGGAUAAUAUUUUGAACCGCAUGGUUCAAAAGUAAAAGACGGUCUUGCUGUCACUUAUAGAUGGAUCCGCGCUGCAUUAGCUAGUUGGUAAGGUAACGGCUUACCAAGGCAACGAUGCAUAGCCGACCUGAGAGGGUGAUCGGCCACACUGGGACUGAGACACGGUCCAGACUCCUACGGGAGGCAGCAGUAGGGAAUCUUCCGCAAUGGGCGAAAGCCUGACGGAGCAACGCCGCGUGAGUGAUGAAGGUCUUCGGAUCGUAAAACUCUGUUAUUAGGGAAGAACAUAUGUGUAAGUAACUGUGCACAUCUUGACGGUACCUAAUCAGAAAGCCACGGCUAACUACGUG